GCGUCACUAGCUCAACUGGCAGAGCAGCUGACUCUUAAUCAGCGGGUUCGGGGUUCGAGUCCCUGGUGGCGCA
rnacentral:tRNA from 1 species